GACGAACGCUGGCGGCGGGCUUAACACAUGCAAGUCGAACGGAAAGGCCCUGCUUUUGUGUGGUGCUCGAGUGGCGAACGGGUGAGUAACACGGGAGUAACCUGGCCUUUACGUUGGGAUAACUUCAGGAAACUGGGGCUAAUACCGGAUAGGAGCGCCUGCUGCAUGGUGGGGGUUGGAAAGUUUCGGCGGUGGGGGAUGGACUCGCGGCUUAUCAGCUUGUUGGUGGGGUAGUGGCUUACCAAGGCUUUGACGGGUAGCCGGCCUGAGAGGGUGACCGGCCACAUUGGGACUGAGAUACGGACCAGACUCCUACGGGAGGCAGCAGUGGGGAAUAUUGCACAAUGGGCGGAAGCCUGAUGCAGCAACGCCGCGUGCGGGAUGACGGCCUUCGGGUUGUAAACCGCUUUCGCCUGUGACGAAGCGUGAGUGACGGUAAUGGGUAAAGAAGCACCGGCUAACUACGUG
rnacentral:rRNA from 1 species